rnacentral:lncRNA from 1 species
AGGGACCUAAGAGUAAAUAUUAGAAGUUUGAUAUAAUUUAUGAAAGAUUCAGAUUUAAGUUAAAAAAAAAAAUAGUGGACAUGUGUCACUAGCUAACCUAAGUUUGGUGCCACUUAUCUUUGCUCUAAAGAUGACACCUAGCCCCUUUCAUGCAUGCAUGACACCUUGCAACUUUUACAUUAGCCAAAACCCAAAUAAUUAGAUGAAAGGUUAAAGAAAACAAACCUGAAGAGUUGCAGCCAACGUGAGUUUGAGAAUAGAAGGGAAGAAGAAGAAGAAGAAGAAGAGCUUGAGGUUUUUCAUCAAUUUUCUCACAUUUGGGAUUCAAAUAAUUUUAAGGCAAGUGUUCUAACCCC